GACGAAGGGGGCUAGCGUUGUUCGGAAUUACUGGGCGUAAAGCGCGUGUAGGUGGUUGUUCAAGUCAGGCGUGAAAGCCUCGAGCUCAACUCGAGAAAUGCGCUUGAUACUGGAUGGCUAGAGGACCGGAGAGGAUAGUGGAAUUCCCAGUGUAGUGGUGAAAUACGUAGAGAUUGGGAAGAACACCAGUGGCGAAGGCGGCUAUCUGGACGGUUUCUGACACUAAGACGCGAAAGCGUGGGGAGCAAACAGG
rnacentral:rRNA from 1 species